rnacentral:rRNA from 1 species
GCUUCGGGUUUAGUGGCGCACGGGUGCGUAACGCGUGGGAAUCUGCCCCUUGGUUCGGAAUAACAGUUGGAAACGACUGCUAAUACCGGAUGAUGACGUAAGUCCAAAGAUUUAUCGCCGAGGGAUGAGCCCGCGUAGGAUUAGGUAGUUGGUGUGGUAAAGGCGCACCAAGCCGACGAUCCUUAGCUGGUCUGAGAGGAUGAUCAGCCACACUGGGACUGAGACACGGCCCAGACUCCUACGGGAGGCAGCAGUGGGGAAUAUUGGACAAUGGGCGAAAGCCUGAUCCAGCAAUGCCGCGUGAGUGAUGAAGGCCUUAGGGUUGUAAAGCUCUUUUACCCGGGAUGAUAAUGACAGUACCGGGAGAAUAAGCUCCGGCUAACUCCGUGCCAGCAGCCGCGGUAAUACGGAGGGAGCUAGCGUUAUUCGGAAUUACUGGGCGUAAAGCGCACGUAGGCGGCUUUGUAAGUAAGAGGUGAAAGCCCAGAGCUCAACUCUGGAAUUGCCUUUUAGACUGCAUCGCUUGAAUCAUGGAGAGGUCAGUGGAAUUCCGAGUGUAGAGGUGAAAUUCGUAGAUAUUCGGAAGAACACCAGUGGCGAAGGCGGCUGACUGGACAUGUAUUGACGCUGAGGUGCGA